rnacentral:rRNA from 1 species
UACGUAGGAGACGAGCGUUGUCCGGAAUUACUGGGCGUAAAGCGCGUGUAGGCGGGCGUGCAAGUCUGCUGUGAAAGCUCCUGGCUUAACCGGGAGUGGUCGGUGGAAACUGCACACCUGGAGGACGGUAGAGGUAGGUAGAAUUCCCGGUGUAGUGGUGAAAUGCGUAGAGAUCGGGAGGAAUACCUGUGGCGAAGGCGGCCUACUGGGCCGGGACCUGACGCUGAGACGCCGAAGGCGUGGGAGGGCGAACGGAUGAGAUACCGUGUAUCAGAC